CAUUAGCUCAGUUGGUAGAGCAGUGGACUUUUAAUCCAUUGGUCGAAGGUUCGAGUCCUUCAUGACC
rnacentral:tRNA from 1 species